AUUAUAUAUAUAUAAAUAUUUAUGUAAAUUAAAGAAAACCCGGUUUGUUUGUUUUUAAAAGGAGGAUAUUGGUAAUUCAUAAUUUCCGUCGUAAACUGGUCUCCAUAUAAUAGAUAGUGAAGGAAUUCAGUUCUUUCAAAUCAUAGCAGUUAUACACAAGGGCUCAUUUCAUUCCAAACGCUGACUGCUCUCAAAAGCUGUAGAAAGCCAAAAUGAAGUUAUUACCUACAGUGAUAGUGGGUAUUGUGAUUAUUGUAAUCUGGAUUAUUUUCAUCGUCAUUAUAUUCACUUUGGAUACUCCAUUAGCCGUACGAAUCGCUGGGACCAUAAUAAGCACCUCAGCUGUAAUUGGGGUAAUAUAUAAAUUAAGAAGUCUAUAUCUGGAAACCAUUCGUUACGGGGUAAGAAGACAAAAAGGAUGGAUGGAAGAUAACCAAGAAACAAGUGUGACAUGGUAGGAGAUAUACAGAAGAAAGAGCACGACGAUAUAUUGAUACUAUACUAUUUUAAAAUAAAGCGCUCAACUGUUCUUUUAUAUAUAUAUAUAUAUAAAUACUGUGGCAAGAGGGACAUUAUGGGUGGCUACCUAUAUCUUUUUCCUAGAGUUAGUCCCUUUUAUUACUUGAUUUAAAGUCCCUAUUAACUGUUUACAAUUGACACUCUCUCUUGAGUCUUCCAACUGACCAGU
rnacentral:sRNA from 1 species